UGUUCGCGAACGCACGUCGCGCGUUGCAUCGUUUAGUCGACAGAGAGGAUCGCGUUUGUCCCGGCUGUCAAAUAUGUUAACGCACGAACGAACAGGUUCGAUAACCAUCGCGUAUCGGAAAUUCGAUUCUUGGUUCGCGAUUUCGUCGUCCAAAUCGUCCUGUCGUAUCGAACGAUGUAACAAACGCUGAGGCGGAAUUUAGCCCGAGUCACGGUGUUACUCGCGGAGGCAUUUUAACGUCACCUUCUCGACCCUCGAGUCAUCAAGUACAGUAGCUAGAAAAGGUACUGGCGCGUACUUGGAUUUUGCGACGAAGCAUUAAGAAGUUCUUUCAUCGGGUAGAAAAUUCUCGUAGUCGUACGAAAGAUAUAAAACGACGCGAAUAUUUGGAUUUGAUCGAUCAGUGCGUAAAUUCUACAACGAUGACGCAAUGGCGGGUCAAUGGAAUAGUAAAAUUAGGAAUCGCCAUCCGAGUUCUUUUCCUCUUGUCGCUGUGACACACAAAAUGGUCAUAGACCACUCGGUGUCUAUGCGAAGCGAUAGGAUGGUGACGCCGCAUUUAACCUGGCGAUUGUCACGACCGGCACCCUUCAAAUCCGAUGGACCGAUGAUGAAGAUAAAGAUGCGACGGCCUUGGCGACGAUGCAUAUCGCCUAAUCGGUCAUCGAUAUCCCCACGGUCCUUCCACCGAAUGUUCUAGAAGAAGGGGUGCGUGGCAACGGUCGCGUACGCCUACAACGUAGUGGAGAUAUCGAGGGGUGACAAAGAAAAAAAGGAACAGAUCCCACCGAAAGUCAAAUUGUAAGAGCUUCGGUCUUGGAAAGUCACGGCUGGAGCUCAGAACGAAAUCGCAGUCGGUGUAAGCUCAGAGUUCAAGAAAUAAGCUCUCUUUUGUAUUUU